AUGCAGUCGAACGGACUCAUAUUGAAACCUAGUGAUUUAUGAGUUAGUGGCGGACGGGUGAGUAACGCGUGGAUAACCUACCGUAUACCGGGGGAUAACACUUAGAAAUAGGUGCUAAUACCGCAUAAGCGCACGGCUCCGCAUGGGGCAGUGUGAAAAACUCCGGUGGUAUACGAUGGAUCCGCGUCUGAUUAGCUAGUUGGCGGGGUAACGGCUCACCAAGGCAGCGAUCAGUAGCCGGCCUGAGAGGGUGGACGGCCACAUUGGGACUGAGACACGGCCCAAACUCCUACGGGAGGCAGCAGUGGGGAAUAUUGCACAAUGGGGGAAACCCUGAUGCAGCGACGCCGCGUGAGUGAAGAAGUAUCUCGGUACGUAAAGCUCUAUCAGCAGGGAAGAUAAUGACGGUACCUGACCAAGAAGCCCCGGCUAACUACGUGCCAGCAGCCGCGGUAAUACGUAGGGGGCAAGCGUUAUCCGGAUUUACUGGGUGUAAAGGGAGCGUAGACGGCAGCACAAGUCUGGAGUGAAAUCCCGGGGCUUAACCCCGGAACUGCUUUGGAAACUGUGCGGCUGGAGUGCAGGAGGGGUAAGCGGAAUUCCUAGUGUAGCGGUGAAAUGCGUAGAUAUUAGGAGGAACACCGGUGGCGAAGGCGGCUUACUGGACUGUAACUGACGUUGAGGCUCGAAAGCGUGGGGAGCAAACAGGA
rnacentral:rRNA from 1 species